AUACGUAGGGGGCGAGCGUUGUCCGGAAUGAUUGGGCGUAAAGGGCGCGUAGGCGGCGCGGUAAGUCUGGAGUGAAAGUCCUGCUUUCAAGGUGGGAAUUGCUUUGGAUACUGCCGCGCUUGAGUGCAGGAGAGGUUAUCGGAAUUCCCGGUGUAGCGGUGAAAUGCGUAGAGAUCGGGAGGAACACCAGUGGCGAAGGCGGGUAACUGGACCGCAACUGACGCUGAGGCGCGAAAGUGUGGGGAGCAAACAGGAUUAGAUACCCUGGUAGUCCACACUGUAAACGAUGAAUGCUAGGUGUAAGAGGUAUCGACCCCUUUUGUGCCGGAGUCAACACAAUAAGCAUUCCGCCUGGGGAGUACGGCCGCAAGGUUGAAACUCAAAGGAAUUGACGGGG
rnacentral:rRNA from 1 species